AUUGAACGCUGGCGGCAGCCCUUAUACAUGCAAGUCGAACGAGAAAGUUUCUUCGGAAGCGAGUAAAGUGGCGGACGGGUGAGUAACGCGUAGGAAUCUACCUUUCAGUGGGGGAUAGCUCGAGGAAACUCGAAUUAAUACCGCAUACACCCUUAGGGGGAAAGGGGGCCUCUCCUUGGAAGCUCUCGCUGUUAGAUGAGCCUGCGUGAGAUUAGUUUGUUGGUAAGGUAAUGGCUUACCAAGACUACGAUCUCUAGCUGGUCUGAGAGGACGAUCAGCCACACUGGGACUGAGACACGGCCCAGACUCCUACGGGAGGCAGCAGUAGGGAAUAUUGGACAAUGGGGGAAACCCUGAUCCAGGCAUGCCGCGUGUGUGAAGAAGGCCUUAGGGUUGUAAAGCACUUUAAGUGAGGAAGAAAAGAUUUAAGUUAAUAUCUUAAAUCCCUGACAUUACUCACAGAAUAAGGACCGGCUAACUCCGUGCCAGCAGCCGCGGUAAUACGGAGGGUCCAAGCGUUAAUCGGAAUUACUGGGCGUAAAGCGCGCGUAGAUGGUCUGUUAAGUUGGGUGUGAAAUCCCUGGGCUCAACCUAGGAACUGCAUUCAAAACUUACAGACUAGAGUACGAAAGAGGAGAGCAGAAUUCAUGGUGUAGCGGUGAAAUGCGUAGAUAUCAUGAGGAAUACCAGUGGCGAAGGCGGCUCUCUGGUUCGAGACUGACAUUGAGGUGCGAAAGCGUGGGUAGCAAACAGGAUUAGAUACCCUGGUAGUCCACGCCGUAAACGAUGAGAACUAGCCGUUGGAUCUUUAGAUUCAGUGGCGCAGCUAACGCAUUAAGUUCUCCGCUUGGGGAGUACGGCCGCAAGGCUAAAACUCAAAUGAAUUGACGGGGGCCCGCACAAGCGGUGGAGCAUGUGGUUUAAUUCGAUGCAACGCGAAAAACCUUACCAACCCUUGACAUCCAGUGGAGGUUCUAGAGAUAGAACUGUGCCUUCGGGAACACUGUGACAGGUGUUGCAUGGCUGUCGUCAGCUCGUGUCGUGAGAUGUAUGGUUAAGUCCAGUAACGAGCGCAACCCUUAUCCUUAUUUGCCAACACUUCGGGUGGGAACUAUAGGGAGACUGCCGUGAAUAACACGGAGGAAGGUGGGGACGACGUCAAGUCAUCAUGGCCCUUACGGGUUGGGCUACACACGUGCUACAAUGGGAGAUACAGAUGGUUGCGAAAGCGCGAGCUGGAGCUAAUCCCACAAAGUCUUCCUCAGUCCGGAUUGGAGUCUGCAACUCGACUCCAUGAAGUAGGAAUCGCUAGUAAUCGUGAAUCAGAAUGUCACGGUGAAUACGUUCUCGGGCCUUGUACACACCGCCCGUCACGUCAUGGGAGUGUGUUGUACCAGAAGUGGUUUGCCUAACCUUCGGGAGGGCGCCCCCCACGGUAUGAUACGCGACUGGGACGAAGUCGUAACAAGGUAGCCCUAGGGGAACCUGGGGCUGGAUCACCUCCU
rnacentral:rRNA from 1 species